rnacentral:rRNA from 1 species
UAUUGGACAAUGGGGGCAACGCUGAUCCAGCCAUGCCGCGUGUGUGAAGAAGGUCUUCGGCUUGUAAUGCACUUUAAGUUGGGAGGAACGGCUUUAGGUUAAUACCCUGAAGUUUUGACGUUACAAACCGAAUAAGCACCGGCGAACUCUGUGCGAGCAGCCGCGGUAAUACAGAGGGUGCAAGCGUGAAUCGGAAUUACUGGGCGUAAAGUGCGCGUAGGUGGUUCAGUAAGAUGUGUGUGAAAUCCCCGGGCUGAACCUGGGAACUGCUUUCAUAACUGCUGAGCUAGAGUACGGUAGAGGGUAGUGGAAUUUCCUGUGUAGCGGUGAAAUGCGUAGAUAUAGGAAGGAACACCAGUGGCGAAGGCGACUACCUGGACUGAUACUGACACUGAGGUGCGAAAGCGUGGGGAGCAAAC